AGAAUCAACGCUGGCGGCGCGCUUAACACAUGCAAGUCGCACGAGAAAGUGGAGCAAUCCAUGAGUACAGUGGCGUACGGGUGAGUAACACGUGGAUCAUCUACCUCUUGAUGGGGAAUAACCCUGGGAAACCGGGGCUAAUACCGCAUAAGCCUGAAAAGGGAAAGCGUUGUCCUUAAAAAACGACGCGUCGAGAGAGGAGUCCGCGGCCGAUUAGCUAGUUGGUAGGGUAAAGGCCUACCAAGGCAAUGAUCGGUAGCCGGCCUGAGAGGGCACACGGCCACACUGGCACUGAAACACGGGCCAGACUCCUACGGGAGGCAGCAGUGGGGAAUCUUGCACAAUGGAGGAAACUCUGAUGCAGCGACGCCGCGUGAGCGAUGAAGCCCUUCGGGGUGUAAAGCUCUUUCGGCAGGAACGAUAAUGACGGUACCUGCAGAAGAAGCUGCGGCUAACUACGUGCCAGCAGCCGCGGU
rnacentral:rRNA from 1 species